rnacentral:rRNA from 1 species
AUGGCGUCGUUUGCUUGUUACGUCCUCCUCCCCCUCGUCCUCGCGUCCACGGCAUGCCAUGCCAGGGACGCCGUCACGCCGGGCCGCCCGCUCGCCGCGAACCAGACGUUGCUCUCGGUCCCCGACGGCAAGUUCGUGCUCGGCUUCUUCACGCCGCCGGGCGCCAACAACACCUACGUCGGCGUCUGGUACGGCAAGGUCUCCAUCCGCACGGUGGUCUGGGUCGCCAACCGCGAGCACCCCAUCCCCGGCGGCGUCGCGGACAACCACGGCGCCACGCUCUCCGUGUCCGCCACCGGCACGCUCGCCAUUGCCACGGGCAACUCGACCGUCGUGUGGUCGGUCAAGCCGGCGGCCGCGGUGGCGAGCCCCGCGGCGCGGAUCCUGGACAGCGGCAAUCUGGUGCUCGUGGACGCGGGCGGCGGCGUGGCGUGGGAGGGGUUCGACUACCCGACCGACACGCUGCUCCCGGACAUGAAGCUGGGGGUCGACUUCGUGAAGGGGCGGAACCGGACGCUGACGGCGUGGAAGAGCCCGUCGGACCCCUCGCCGGGCCCCGUGGUCAUGGCGAUGGUCACGUCCGGCGACCCCCAGGUGUUCAUCUGGAACGGCGACGACCUGGUCUGGCGCUCCGGCCCCUGGGACGGCGUCCAGUUCACCGGCGUGCCGGACACCGUCACCUACUCCGACUUCACCUUCAGCUUCAUCAACAACGCCCAGGAGGUCACGUACAGCUUCCACGUGCACAAAGAGUCGACCAUAUCGAAGCUGGGGCUGAACACCACGGGGAACAACGGGGUGCUGCAGCGGUCGACGUGGGUGGAGGCGGCCGGGACGUGGAACCUCUACUGGUACGCGCCCAAGGACCAGUGCGACGCGGUGUCGCCGUGCGGGCCCAACGGCGUGUGCGACACCAACAACAUGCCCGUCUGCUCCUGCCUGCGCGGCUUCGUCCCCAGGUCGCCGGCGGCAUGGGCGCUGCGGGACGGCCGGGACGGCUGCGUGCGGGCGACGCCGCUUGACUGCCGGAACGGCACCGACGGGUUCGUCACGCUGAGGCACGCCAAGGUGCCGGACACGGUGCGGAGCGUGGUGGACAUGAGCCUCAGCCUGGAGCAAUGCCGGCAGGCGUGCCUCCGGAACUGCUCCUGCACCGCCUACGCCAGCGGCAACGUCAGCGCCGACCGCCGCGCCGACGGCUCCGGCUGCGUCAUGUGGAGCUCGGGGCUCACCGACCUGCGCGUCUACCCGGACUUCGGCCAGGAACUCUUCGUCCGCCUCGCCGCCGCCGAUCUCGGUAUAACAAGUAAAUCCAAGAAGAAACACGUGAUAAUCGCAGUCGUCGCCUGCAUCUCCGCGCUGGCAUUCCUUUUAGCGCUCGCUGGUGUUUUCUUCUGGACAAGAGGGAAGAAGAAGGCAAGAAAAACAGGAUCUAGUAAAUGGAGCGGCGGUUCACGCAGCACUCCCCGCCAGUAUGAUGGAAGUAGUCACAAUGAUGACUUGGAACUGCCGAUAUUUGAUCUGGGGACAAUCGCAGCUGCCACUGAUGGUUUCUCCAUCGAUAACAAACUCGGCGAGGGUGGCUUUGGACCGGUGUAUAAGGGUAAGCUUGAGGAUGGACAGGAAAUAGCUGUCAAGACACUCUCAAAAACAUCCGUACAGGGUCUCGAUGAGUUCAAGAAUGAGGUUAUGUUAAUAGCUAAACUCCAGCACCGGAACCUUGUCCGGCUUCUUGGCUAUAGCAUUAGUGGACAAGAAAGGCUACUUAUCUAUGAAUAUAUGGAAAAUAAGAGCCUGGAUUACUUCCUAUUUGCAGAAAAAUCCAACAGUAUCCAACUUGAUUGGCAAGUGCGAUACUCUAUCAUAGAAGGCAUUGCUCGAGGAUUACUGUAUCUCCACCAGGACUCAAGAUACAGAAUCAUCCAUAGAGACAUGAAGGCAAGUAAUGUUCUUCUAGACAAGGAGAUGACUCCCAAAAUUUCUGACUUUGGCAUGGCAAGAAUGUUUGGCAGUGAAGAGACAGAAAUCAAUACGUGUAAAGUCGUUGGCACAUAUGGCUACAUGGCUCCAGAGUAUGCAAUGGAUGGAGUCUUCUCAGUCAAAUCAGAUGUAUUUAGUUUUGGAGUAUUACUGCUGGAAAUAAUAAGUGGUAGAAGAAACAGAGGGGUGUAUUCCUACUCAAAUCACCUAAAUCUUCUAGGACAUGCAUGGAGCUUAUGGAACGAAGGGAAAGGCGUAGAAUUAGCAGAUGAAACCAUGAAUGGCUCGUUCAACUCAGAUCAAGUACUCAAAUGCACCAGAGUGGGGCUCCUGUGUGUGCAAGAGAACCCAGAUGAUCGUCCAUUGAUGUCCCAAGUGCUUAUGAUGUUAGCUGCUACAGAUACUGCCACAUUGCCAACUCCUAAGCAGCCUGGUUUUGCAGCUAGAAGAAUUCAAAUGGAAACAGAGACGUCAUCAAGUAAACCAGACAGCAGCAUAUUCAACAGUGCGACCGUUACCAUUGAAGGUCGAUAG